AGAUAGAAUCUGCAGUGCCUGAAAUCCAGCCUGCUGCUUACUCACAUCCUCAUACUCAGCUGCAGACUGUCUGACAGAAGGGCUGCCAACCUGAACUCCGGACAGACAGGUGCACAGCCAGGCCUGAUUCAGCAGGAAGCAUCUCAGACACCAACCACUAUGCUGCCAGCAGUGGCCCGGGGCUACCGGGGCUGGUUUCAUCCCUGUGCUAGGCUUUCUGUGAGGAUGAGCAGCACUGGGAUAGACCGGAAGGGCAUCCUGGCUAACCGAGUAGCCGUGGUCACGGGGUCCACCAGUGGGAUCGGCUUUGCCAUGGCCCGGCGUCUGGCCCGGGAUGGGGCCCACGUGGUCAUCAGCAGCCGGAAGCAGCAGAAUGUGGACCGGGCCGUGGCCGAGCUGCAGGGGGAGGGGCUGAGCGUGGCGGGCAUCGUGUGCCACGUGGGGAAGGCUGAGGACCGGGAGCAGCUGGUGGCCAAGGCCCUGGAGCACUGUGGGGGUGUCGACUUCCUGGUGUGCAGCGCAGGGGUCAACCCUCUGGUGGGGAGCACUCUGGGGACCAGUGAGCAGAUCUGGGACAAGGGACCUCAGGGUGGUACCCCCUUCUGACAUCUGGGCCACUUCUUGCAGUCAUUGGGGGUCAUCCCCCACACUGGUAACCUGUCAUCAAAUGGGCCACAGCAACAUUCAGCUUAAGUAUUUCUCCUUCCCACAUCCAAGGGAUUGAGUGGGCAUGAGACUGGGGAGUGGAAAAAACAGUGAACAGUCCUGGUCAGUUGCAGAUGUGCAGUCUCAUUCCCUAGAGAUGCAGGAUGCAGCUGACCUGAAUCAGGACAGAUCCCUGCAGGAGGGACUCCUGGUGCCAUGUCAGUCCCACCUGGCACUGCCCUAGCUCCCAGGCUCUGCCUCUGCAUCUUUCCUUGCUACUUCCUCUUUCACUUCUCCCCUGUUCCCAGACCCACCAGACAGAGCUUCCAGAGUGUCAGGACCUGUGUGGCUUAGCCAAGAUUCAGACUUUAGUCAAAAGCAGGAUCAGUAUAGACAUCUAGCUCCCAGAAUGGCAAUUCUCUGUUGUGUCUCCCUGUUUGUAUUGGCUGCAGGAAAGCUCAGAGCCAAGUCUGCGAUAAACUGGUGUGUGUAGGCCCUUACAGCCUGCAUUUUUGUGACCAAAUAAUAGAAUAAAUGCUCAGUCCUUAUCACAUGCUGUGAACUGUAGGCACCAACCUCACUCUUGCUUUUUAUUAUUUUUCUACACUGAUUUUUCCUUUUCUCCAUUUCUUCACACAUAGUACCUAUUUGAUUUAUUUUAUGCUGUUGCAUUGUGAGUGUGCCUUAAAUUCUAUGGGGACAAGGCAAG
rnacentral:sRNA from 1 species